UCUCUUGCCACCACCAUCUUCCAUCUCUAAUCGCCACCAUCGUGUUUUUUGUCUGUCACCGCCACGUUUUACAAACCCUAGAUAUCAACACAAGUUCUUCUUCUUUCUUCGUUAAUCGUUCUUCUAACACUUUGUUUUCAUUUUGAUUUUUAAGAUUUCAUAGAUUUUAGAUACCAAUGUUUCUUCAUUUAUGUAGAAGUAACUUUCAAAAUAUUUGAAACUAUUUUGACCUGAUAUUGCUUCGUAUGUUGUAAUUGAAACGAAAUUGAGUGAAAUAAUCAUAGAAUAAUAACAUUUGGAAAAGAUAAUUCUGUGAAAUCAAAGAUCUUUAAGCCCACUUCCGUGUCUCUACCCUUCAUCCUUUAACCAAUGGGCGAUUAGAAGCAAGAUCAAUUUAGAAGCAGCCCAGCCCUGGGGAUGAAAUUCAAUAAAAUUGAAUUCUAGGUUUUGGUUAAUUUGUAGUUGUGAUUCGAUAUGCAGAAGCAUCUGUGAGGUAAUUUUCGUUUCAUUAUUUGUGGUUCUUGAAUUGUAAUUUGGUCAAUUGUUUAUUAUUUUGGGUAGUUUUAAUUUGUAGCCUGUGGUUCCUAUUUCACUUUCAAAGCUAAAUAAACCAUUUAUGCCUCUUUUUAGCCUUUUUAUGUAGUUGGCAGGUUGUUAUGCGUUUAGCUUCAUAUUUUUGGACGUGGGAUUAAACAGUUAAUUCUUUUGAUACAGCCAACUGAAAAAACCAGUGUCUAUUUUGCCGAUUGUUUGCCGAAUGAUGAUAUCAAUUGCUGCAGGUUUGUUUAGGAUCAUUAAAAACAAACUUUAAUCCAUCAAUUCUUCAUCAAUCUGAUGUGUAAGUCAAGCAAACCGUGAAAAGGGAAUGUGUAACGGCGACCCACCAGAUCCGGGGAUAGAGGGACGCUUAUAGGUAUCAGACGAGACGAGACGGUGAUGAUUCUGACCAAGAAUCAUAUGGUGGUACAAGGUGAUGAUGUUUUAGGUGAUGAAAGUUCAGAUGUCUUUGCAACAAACUCAAAUGGACAGGUUCUAUUUACUAAUUAGUUUACUGUGGAUGCGGUCAUCAAUUCGAAAUCUAGCCAGGAGGAUGUGUUUCAGUUGGUUGGUGUUUCCAUGGUUAAGUGUGCAAUGGUAGCUUACAACACUUCUAUGGUGGCUUAUGCACAGAUGGCUGACUCAAUGGAUAUGGGUGGACAUUUAUACACACCAACCCUCUGUCGUAUUAUAUCUUUCACCGGUCUGCACCUUUUGCCACUACACAGACAACCUUCCGAAUCUCCCCUCGAUAAUGGCUUCUUCUAUCACUUAUAUACACCUGAUCACACGCACUCAUUCCAAAGUUUCACUCACUGGUGUCCGUCAUGACUGUUUACGUUGCCGUCGCACUCACCGCCGUCAUCCUUCUCUUUUCGGCUACUCACUCCUCCAUCGUCGGAGUGGAGUAUGUUUCUCGUCUUCUUCAGGUUCAGGAUCGAGAGAGAGCUCCGUCAUCCGUACAACUUUCCGCUGCUAGAGCGGUGCUUGAUCGCUUUAUCCCUUCGCAUUCAUCCAGUUUCCAAUUUAACAUCAUCACUUAAGUAAAUUUCAUUUUCGUUUAUUGUUUAUUUAAAUAGGGCUUUGUAAUUUUUUACUAUACCUGCUGGAUUAUGAUAUUUGAUUUCCCUUGCAUCUUUUGACUUUUGUGGAAAUUCAAUUGACUGAUGAAGUCAAUCAGGUGUUUUUUGAUUUUCCUUAUAGCGUUCAGAUAGUGAGAGAAAGUUGAGUAAAAUAAAUUUUUGGAUGAUAGUGAAGGAAUUAAGGAAAUGAAGGUUCAUGAAGAAAAUGAACAUUGUAAAAUUAUUUUAUUGAUGAUUCAAAUAAGCUUAAACAUGGACUAUUUAUACACAGACUGACUUUCCACGAGUAUAGUAUAGGUAGUGCUAACAAAUGCUUACAUAACCUCAGAUAGUAUACAAAGAUAAGCUUAAGUAAUUUCAUUCAGCAGUUCUCUCUUCCAAUUUAACCUAUGUUCAGCUCUGUUUAAAAAAAACUUGUCUUUUGGCAAUUUUAUGCCAAACAGCAGUUCUCUCUUCAUAUGUAAUUAUAGAUUUAAGCUAUAAUGAUAUGGAAUGGAAAUAUUAGAAAACUUUGAUGCUUGUUUGUUUUAAAUAACAUGAUUUGAGGUGGAUGAUUCAGUCAUGAUUUUCUGAUAUUUUAGAUGAAUUGACAUUUGUAAAGUUGUAGCAGAGUGUUUAGGUUAUAUAUUAAGUUAAUAUAAUAUUUGUUUUUGGCUAAAUUGGUUUCUUUAGUGCCCUUUGAAAUUGUCCUAUUAUCAUAUAUAUAUGUAUGAGCGUUUGGUGUAAUGACUCAUUGACUGCACAUAGUAGUCAUCAAUUUUUUAUUGUUAUUGUUAAUUUUUUUGUUAAAGGGCUGCGCUAAAAUGAUAUAUAUAUAUAAACACGUGUAGAGGUAAAGGUUCCUGUUAUAGUGGCAGGCUGUAAGUUGGAUUUAAGGGAUGAACAACAAGCAGUUAGUUUGGAGUUGGUGAUGUCUCCUAUAAUGCAACAGUUUAGGGAAAUUGAAACCUGUAUUGAAUGUUCAGCAUACAAACAUAUUCAGAAUUUAUUGAAGACAUUUCACAAAUCAUAAAGUCCUACCUUAAGUUAGAACCCAGAUUAAAGCGUUCACUCAAACCGAUAAAGCUGCUAUGCUUGAUGAGAUUCUGGAUUAUGUGUAACAUUUACAGAUGCAAAUCAAGGUUCGGAGGUUGAUAAAGUCUGCAAAGCACUCGAGGUUGGUUGUCCCACUUGCUUGCUUCCUGGACCCAAGCUGAGAAGGAAUUCAAAGUGGAGGUUGAAGCAAUUGGGCAUGUGCACCACAAUAAUCUGGUGUGCUUAUUGGGUUAUCGUAUCAAGGGAACUCAUAGGUUGUUGGUGUAGGAGUAUGGCAACAAUUGAAAUUUAGAACAAUGGCUCCAUGGAGCUAUGCGCCAACAUGGAUAUCUUAAAUGUAGUUUAGUUUAAUGGUAAAUUCUAUGUGAUGCGCCAACAUGGAUAUAUUUUACAUGUGAUGCUCAUUUAACAGCUUAGUUUUAUAAUUUUGUGAUUAUGAUAAAGUUUGAGUUCAAAUAUAUUUAUUUUACUUCAGAUGA